CCUACGGGAGGCAGCAGUGGGGAAUCUUGCGCAAUGGGCGAAAGCCUGACGCAGCCAUGCCGCGUGAAUGAUGAAGGUCUUAGGAUUGUAAAAUUCUUUCACCGGGGACGAUAAUGACGGUACCCGGAGAAGAAGCCCCGGCUAACUUCGUGCCAGCAGCCGCGGUAAUACGAAGGGGGCUAGCGUUGCUCGGAAUUACUGGGCGUAAAGGGAGCGUAGGCGGAUAGUUUAGUCAGAGGUGAAAGCCCAGGGCUCAACCUUGGAAUUGCCUUUGAUACUGGCUAUCUUGAGUAUGGGAGAGGUAUGCGGAACUCCGAGUGUAGAGGUGAAAUUCGUAGAUAUUCGGAAGAACACCAGUGGCGAAGGCGGCAUACUGGCCCAUUACUGACGCUGAGGCUCGAAAGCGUGGGGAGCAAACAGGAUUAGAUACCCUGGUAGUCCACGCUGUAAACGAUGAGUGCUAGUUGUCGGCGAUGCAUGCAUGUUCGGUGGUACGCGACGCGUAACGACG
rnacentral:rRNA from 1 species